rnacentral:sRNA from 1 species
CUUCUUGCUACACCCUCACGACUAAUGACAGUGCUCACUCCCUUAAGGACUCUCAUUAGCCGCGCGAGUCACUGUAGCGGAAGAGGUUUAAAUUUCAGAAACGGCAAAAAACGGUAAAAAUAGUGUUUAAAUCUCUCAAUUCUAGUUUCUAUUGAUUCCGUUUCCUAGAAGAAAAGGGGCCCAAUUAGGCCCCUUUCC